rnacentral:rRNA from 1 species
AUGGCCACCGGAGGCGCCCCAAAGCCGGAGGAGGAGACCGUCGUCUUCCCCGAUUGGGUGAUGCUGGAACGCAUCUUCCGCAAACGGUGCCUCGACGACCUAGACGCUGCUGGUGAGGCCGUCAACAAGAACAAGACCGCUGCUCCAGUCAAGAUAGACGGCGUUCACUCCUGCUUCGUCUCCUUCACCCUCGCAGCUCCUCCAGGGUCCUCCUACUUCAACCUCCAUUGGCCGGAGAGACAAGGCUCAGACAGACUCUCUGCCUUCGUCCGGGCAACCGACAAGAACCUCGUCCUCUUCGACAUCUCGAUCCCCGACCGGAUUCGCUACAUGGACGCUCCGCCAGAUCUGUUCGUCUACACGGCCUCUGCUCCUUCCCCCUCGGUGCAGCAGCUUCCUCGGCGCAGCACAAGGCGGUUCCUGGCUCAUCAGUUCAUCACCGGCAUUCUGCAGCUCAAAGCGGAGCACUGCUACAUCGUUGCCGACCUCAAUGUCCACCCCAAGAAAAAGGGCGUUUGGGCUGAACUCUGUGUCUUCAACUCCGGCGCCAACGACUGGAGAAUCAUCACCGAGGUGCUUGCUGAUGAGCUCCCUGACCUCUGGUGGUCCGAUGAUGUGUUUGCUUUCGACGGCCGUUUCCUUUGCUGGGUGGACUACUUCUGCGGCGUCGUGCUAUGCGACUUCUCCAAAAAUGUGGACUCCCAGGUGCUCCACUUCGUGCCUUUUCCUGGAGGAAUCAAAUACCCUUUUGACGCACGGUUCCCGAGGUACUUCCCAGGGAGGUUCCGAAGUGCGUCCAUCAGCCAAGGCAUGAUCCGCUAUAUCCACAUUGACAAUGACUUUCAUGAGACUAUCCACUCCGACUGGCAAGUGAUGAUUCCUCCUAAGAGAAGCCAACGGCGGCAGCAGCAGCUUCCCCACAAAAUCACCAUUUGGACGUUGAACUCCAAGUUCGAGUGGGAGGUGCAUUGUAAGAUCAACCUGGAUUGUCUCUGGGCACAACCUCUUUACCGAGGUCUACCUCGGCGUCUUCCUGAGUUCCCAGUCAUCAGCAUGGAUGACCCGGGUGUUCUGUGCUGCCUGCUGAGGGCGAAGGAAUUUGGUGGCAAGGAGCGGAUGAUCAUGGUUGACAUGAACCAUGCGGAUCUGCAGUCAUUUACUGAUGUGAAUGUAGAAGACAAGUUCUCUAAUACCACCCAACUUCCAACUGUCUUCUCCAAAUACCUUCAAAAGGCCAACAGGAUUCUCAGAGAACUUCUUUCUUAA